rnacentral:lncRNA from 1 species
GGUGAAGAUGUCAAAAGAGAAUCUACAAGAGAAGUCCACCAUACCGAGGGUUCUUUGACGAGAGGCCCUUCAAUAGUUAAGUUAGUUAGAGCUGGAGAAUAGUAGAAGAAAGAGGAAGAAUGAUGAGUGUAAGAGCAAGAGAGGUGCAGUAUUCUCCCUCCAGAUUAGGCUUAUCUGAGGAUUCCCUUGAUACCCCUUUAUAUUGAGGUAGAGCCA